GUUUUUUAAUGACAUAAUUUGCAUACCAAGGAAGCUAAGCACAUAUAAAUCGAGAAGCAAGUAGCCAUGACACCCUGCAGACCUGGUCGCUGGGGGCUACUUCUGCUGUCUGCAGUUUCUGCAGGACCAAUUGCAGCUCCCUUCCCUGCAAUUGGUGCAGAGAAGGCCACAUGAUGCCCCUGGGCCAGAAGUUCCUGGCAAGAGGUGGUGAGCCGCUGAGAAAGUAUGUCAACCCUCCUGGCAGACACUGUAGCUUCAGCCCCAACAGCUAAACCAGCUCCACCUUCACGCCCUACCUAUUUAUGUCCCUAAUCAUGGCCCACACCUUUAUGUCCCACCCCACCUCCUCCUUUAUGCCCCUCCAGGCCCCACUG
rnacentral:lncRNA from 1 species